CACGUAGGGCGCAAGCGUUGUCCGGAAUUAUUGGGCGUAAAGAGCUCGUAGGCGGUCUGUUGCGGCCGCUGUGAAAACUCGGGGCUUAACCCCGAGCCUGCAGUGGAUACGGGCAGACUAGAGGUAGGUAGGGGAGAAUGGAAUUCCCGGUGUAGCGGUGAAAUGCGCAGAUAUCGGGAGGAACACCGGUGGCGAAGGCGGUUCUCUGGGCCUUACCUGACGCUGAGGAGCGAAAGCGUGGGGAGCGAACAGG
rnacentral:rRNA from 1 species